GACGGGAGGAACAGAGCGAGACGCGGGAGAGAGAACGGUGGAUAUACACUCGGCGUGAGAACUAUGUUUCGCCAAGCAGGUGUGAAGUCCAUCAACCGCACGACUGUAAGAUAUGCACGCGAUGUUUAUGAUUAACUAAAAUUUGAGUUAGACGCAGGUGAGUUAAGACACUCUGAUGCUAGCUGACACGAAGAUGUGGCUCCAGUUUCUUUCAUCGUUCCUGUUGCUGCUGACAGCGGCCGCACAAGCAGCGAGCUUCUGCCCAGAGGAUCAUGUCAUUUCUCCAUGCACCUGCCUCAAUGAUCACGACGGCGCGAGCGUCAGUUGCUACGGCGGGUACAUGUCAGCGGCAGAGAUGACGGCCAUCGUUGGCCGCUUGCAGAACACGACGAUGAGUCGCCUUCAGAUCUACAGCUUCAGCGACCUGACCGAGAUACCGGCAGGCAUGUUCCGCGGCAUGAAGAUAGUUUCGC